GUAUAUAAAUCUUUAAACAAGUCAUAAGAUCCGUCAGAAAGGUUUUCUUCUGUUUUUCCAUUUCUCUUUCUAUCAUCAGAAACUUCUGAUAGAUCUUUCCAGUUAGGGUUUGAUCGUUGUACGCGAUGGGUGGUGAAUCAUCAAAGAUGAAGAAAGCAAUGGAAGAAUAUGAGAAAGUUAGCAAAGAAAUAGAUGCUCAGGAAGCAAGAAUCUUCAAGAUUUUGGUCCUUAGUUUGGGAGUGUGGGUCUAUUCUCAAUUUGCAGACCUGUUGAUUAAACACAAACGGAGGUCGGAAUAAUUUCAAGAUAGAAGAAGAAGAAGCUCUACUAAUGAAAGACAAAGUAAUUAUUAGGUUUAUUUUAUGUUAAUUUCAUGGUGUCUAUUGGUAGUACUCUUUUGUGGUCGGUGGGAUAAUUAGGGUUUUAGACGUAACAAAAAACAACAACAACAGAUCUCUGUCUGUUUGAUGUAGAAUGUUGAUAUAAUGGUAUGAGUUUCUAAGUUAUAAUCACUGUUUCUGUGCAUUCAUGUUUUUAUUGCUUUCUCACAUUCUUCCCUGAAUGAAUUAGUGUACCCUUCUUGAAACCAACUUCCUCCACUGAUGCUUCUAUAAUAUCACAAUUUAAAAAAUAGAUAUGUAAUUAUGUACUGAUGUUAAUCAGCAAAUAUAGACUUUAACAACUAGAGAGUGUUUUCUCUUCUUGAGAGUUAGGCAACACCAUGAGCAAGACCCAUCUGCCCGCAUUAGCUUUCGACGUGCAUACAAUCAGUUACUUUAGAACGCCCCCCACUCAGGACUUGAAGGGGAUGCCUGAGUGUGCAAACUGAAGGUGAGGCAUCGAUGCUGGUGGCUUACCAAGAGAAUGGUAUUAAUUGUAGUCCAGGUUCAUCUAUAAGACAAAGGAGCUUUGUAACACUACUGUUUGGAACAAUGCAACUUUUCAACCAAUUCUUAAUUCAGUGUACCAGACUGAGCAUCCUUCUUACUUCAAAUUCAUGGGCCGUGUGGUAAUCUUCUGUCUAACACUCCAUUUGUAUUAUCCUGACAUGAUGUCUCUUAGCAGGUCGCUAAAGCUCUCAUUGAUGGUCAAUGUUUAUUUCACACACUCAUUCUACAAGCACCUUCUUGGUGCGAAGGUGAAGAAAUACCAGGGUCACAGAAGUGACAAGCAUGAGUAUGUCGAUCUUGUGGCUGGCCACAUCUUGACCAUUGCCACUCGCCCUCACAUCAAGUCUUUCUUGGAAGGUUUCAGUGAAUUGGUCCCUCGAGAGCUUAUUUCAAUUUUUAAUGAUGAAGUGCUUGAAAUGCUUAUAAUUGCGCUUCCAGAUAUUGAGCACAAGUUUGCUUAAAGUUAAACUCUAAAUCAUGUUUCGUUUGUGUAUAAAUACACUUGAUACCCUUUGUUUUUAGUUUCAUUUUCGUUUAAUUAUUGAAAUAUCACUAGUUCAGUGGAUGACCUGCAGGCCAAUACUAAGUAUACUGGUUAUACUGCUGCUUCUAAAGUGGUCCGUGGUUCUGGGAAAUUGUCAAUUUGUUCAGCAAAGAAGAUAUGGCAAGGUUGCUUCAGUUCGUCACUGGGACAUCCAAGGUAAAUGUGAUGAGUGAGUGCCCUAAAAACUUUUGGGAUCUCUCAAUUUAGUUGAGAUAUCUGAGAAAUGUAUACUACUUCUUCCAUGGCUUCUUUUAAGCUCUACUGAGUUCUUUCAGGUCCCUUUGGAUGGUCUUAAAGCUUUGCAAGGAAUCUCUGGUCCUCUGCGAUUUUAGAUUCACAAGGCAUAUGGAGCUCCAGAGAGGUUACCAUCAGAUCAUACCUAGCAAGUGUCGACUUGCUUUCUAGUUGAUCGCUCAAAUUUUUGAUUCCCCUAGAUUGAUAUUUGUUGUUGCUGUCCUUUAAAGAAUGUUGUAUCCCUAAUGGUUGUCUGUUUCUCCAGCUUUAAGCAACAUGACCUCCCCGGGUAUUCCAAGGAACAGCAAGAACGCUUUCUGCUUGCAAUUAACAAACCUGAUGAAAGUUUUGGCUUCGGCUAACACAGUUGAUAAAAAAUGAGGUUAAGCUAGAGAAGGGAGCAAUUUAUGUUUCCCAUGUAUGGGUUAGCUACCUACAAACUCCUCCAGUUACCUUCUAGGAUACUACAGAGCUGACCAUUCAGGUUGACAGAGAAGAGAUAUAACUUCAGCCGAAGGCUCGCAAACACUGGCGAUAAAGUAUCAACUGGAUUUAAAGUUUAUUCAAGUUACGAUCUUGCAAGGCUAUGUAAGCUGUGGGUAAUAUUUACAAACGAUUAUUUUCCUCGCUUUCUAUUGGGCGAGAAGAGCCACAGAUGUUAUUAUUCUGCUGGGAGGGGAGUAGUAGUGACGGCAUAGGCAGCAAAAGUUUGAAGUUACAUUAAAAAGUCUUUUUUAUCUUACCCAAAUACUUGGAUUUCCUUGAUUAUAACUACUAGUAGCAUGAUCAAUGGCAGGUUUUUUAGGUUCACAGCUUUACUAUUUUUUUCCCUGGUGAUUCCUGCUCAUCUUGCGUUACUGGCCAGCUUGUUAAUGAAUGUACUUUUAAUAUCUAAAUAGUUGAUUAUUUCUACUCUUUAAGAGUGGAAAUAAGUAGUAUGCUUGUAUUCUAUCCAACAUCUGAAUUGGACGGUAGCAACCUUCAAUAUAUGAUCAUCUCAACA